GUUAACUACUUAUGGAGACAGCGUCAUCGCCAUGCAAGAACCACCUGGGAAGAACAGUAGCCAAGUGUGUGGCGCUCAGGACUUCAGGCUGAAAAGUCCAACCUUGAUCACUUCUCUUGUGCCCAUGAGCAAGGCAUUUUAUCCCAGUAAGUUUGCUUGGAGAAGGGAGUGACUUUGUCACUAGUGAGGAGAUAAGCUUCCUUUGCCUCCCUAGCUGCAGGUUGUCCUUAGGCAAGGCAUAGCACCUGUUUAGCCUCCCGUGCCAGGGUUUAUACGGUGAAGAUGUCUAAUAUAGUGGAGAUGGACUGAACACAGCAUUGAACAUAACAAUAUUGGAGUGAAGGAGAAACAUAGCUAAAUGAGUGCUGCUCUACUAGAUAAUCCACAUCAAAGAAGGUAAAUCUCUUUCUCCAGCUAAAUAUCUGCUAGUGACCCAAGGAAGAUGGAGAAGAAGAAGAAGAAGAAGAAGAAGAAGAAGAAGAUUAACAAAAAGCAGAAGAAAAUGAAAAUGAAGAAGGAUACGCCGCUGACGACGAGAACGACAACGAAGAAGAAAAAGAAGAAGAAGAAAUAGACUAUGAUGACGAUGUGGGCAACGACCAAGAUGAUGACUUCUACAAUGAAGAGGAAGCAAAAGAGGAAUGUCUGAUCAUAGAUGGAAAAGGGAUAAUUGGUGCAGAGUGUUGAGUCAUGAGGCUGGGAUUGGAGCAAGAUUUAAACACCAUGCAUGCUUAUCAUUUCGACCAGCAAUACACAAACAAGGAACCAGGACGGAACCGGAACAAGGAACCGAGACAAGGAACAAGGAACCAGGAACCAGGACUUCAAACUCACUUCUGCUGAGAAGCUGCGUAACACUGCCACACCCAUGGAUCAGCACACACCGGCAAUGAGCCACCAAAUCGUGUAAAAGGACAUUUGUGCAGAUAUAGACACAUCAAGCUGACGAGAGGCGUGAGUGCAUGAAAUUGUAGAAGCCAGGACUGUUAUUGCAAUGAUGCACUACGUUAACGUGAAACUGUCUUGUUACCAUUUGCAUGUUGUUAAUCGAAUCCAGAGUAGUUUUUCAUUGAGUUCGUUUUUAGAAAUAGGUAGUUCAAUGUUCGAAGUAUUUGCAACUAGACAUUUAAAUGACAAAGAUAGGAAAUGUGUUGCUUGUGGCAGUGAUAGUGACAGCUAGUAGACGUUUCUAAUGUACCGUUUUUAUUUAAUUGUGAAUGCAAAUAUCUAUGACUGCUGAUUGAACAAUGAUGAUAAGCCAAUUUCGCAUUUUGACUGCACAUGCUCCUUAACUUAAUUUCACUCCCAAGUCCUAGCUUUCGGCCAUCAUAAAACAAAUAUACUUUCAGAAAAUUCAAACUUGGGCCGCAUAAAUGUGAUAAUUUACGCAUCAGUUUCAGUCCACUUGCUCAAAAAACUUAUCUGUGAUUUGGCCUCAAUAC
rnacentral:lncRNA from 1 species